AUUACCAGGCGCUCCGUAAAUGUUGUUUGCACCCAGUGUCUGCAUCGAGGACUUUCCUCUCAUCGCCAUUAUGCUGUUGCGACGACCCUCGAACGCCUUGAACGCCUUCGUCGAACGACGCGUCGACAUGUUCCGUGGUAAUCCUGAAACAAAUCGCAACCAAUUUCAAAAUCAACAAACAGCUCACCGUUGCCUUCGGCCAUACUGAAGAAACGUUGCCGGAACGCGACGUCCAGGGUAUUGAUGGCUUGAGUCUUCCUGCGACUCUUUUCAAGAUUUCUGAUUGUUUUCCGUCUUCCCGGACCACUGCCGCUGCCUUCAUCGUAAUCGCCCUCCAUGCCGUCGAGACGCUGCAGAUCGCGAACUAUUUCGACAGCGUGCUUCGAUAGAAGAGCCUCUUCAGAAAGAUCCUUCGACUAGAAAGAACCAGAGAAUCGAUUAUGCGGUGCUCGAAGGAAAACGUCCGGACAGUACCAAUCGAGAACGGUACUAGCAAGGAUGUGAGCCAAAGUGCCGAACCGAUGGAAAAGCAUAGCCGUAAAUUGUAUGACCAGAAUGAGAGCGAAAAAGAAAACGAAAACGAGACCAAUAGGUUCGAGUUGAACGGUUAAACCAGUGAAAUAAAAAGAAAGAGAAAUAGAGAGGCAGAAAGUUAAAAAAGAGAGAAAAACGAGGCCGGUGUGCCGGUACCUCUGCAGUUUCCUCAACGAAGGUGAUGUUCGUCUUGAUGCCGAGAGGCCACACAACGUGAAGCUGAUCUUUGUUCAACUGUAGGUCUUCGCCGAUGGCUCCGAGAUGAUCAGCUGCCCGAGAACCAACGGAGGAAGCUCUUCGACGACCGGAUGAAUGACCGUGGGGAUCCACAGCUCUGUAUUCGGGGACGAAGAUUUGACAAGGCGGAUGAAAUUGUGUUCGAACGCUGAACGUUUAUAAAUUUUCGACUUUUCAAGUAGCUUGGAAGAUUGCCAAACGAUUUUUCAUGAUUCUAUAUAAGAAUUUAAAAAAAUUUCUAACUCUCCGGAAAGUUCCGAAGACUUUUGAGUUGUUGGAAAGUUGAGUUACGUUUUCACACACCUCUCGAUAGUUUCUAAUCGUUUUCCAAGUUGUUCCAACGACUCUGCUAUCGCAACGAGUUGUUGUUUUUCAUCGGAAGGUUGGUCGUGGGUGCAGAGCAUACAUUUGAACAAUCCAGCCAGGGAUAUUUCUAUGGAACCUUGAUUAUCGCCGUUGUUGCCUGCGCCGUUUUGCAGGAAGCCGAGAAGCGACUUUUGCUUCGCUUUUCGUUUAGCCUCUUCGGCCUCUUUCUUUUCUUGCUCGAGUUCCUAACGAGAGAGCGCAUAAGACUCGUAUCCGUUAAUUGUUCACAGAGUGUUUCAGUAUUUCCGGUUAGUUUGUGCAAAUUUGUGAGAAGCAGUGAAAAAGUCGGUUCCGAAGAGAUCAUUCGCGCGAUUGUGCCAACGCUUGGUCGAGUCAAUACCAAAUUUUCAAAGUUCUUUCCUCAAGAAAAUCGAGCAAAAAUCUCUUCGGGUUGUGAUUAAUCUUGCUUUGUUAAUUACCGCAGCGGACAGCCGAGUUUUCACCUCCCUCGUGCCCCACGUGAUAUCAUUGAGAUUGAAGAGCGAAUAUAUUAUUAGUAUGCAGUACAUCGAGGGUACGGUUAUGUAGUAAAUUAUGCCGUAAAUUAGACAUCCCAUUUCACGGGGAUGCAAAGCGGCGGUGACGGUCAAUUGGAAGGCAACGAAAAAAAGGAACAUGCUUGAUGGCGCUGUGAAACCAUCCUCGACUAUGUUUAUCGAUAUCGCCGUCGCAACGACUACCAUCACGAGGCCGUAGACAACGCUUAUCACCGCGGCUGCAAAUACCUGUUUUCAUGAUAUUAUUUUAAUUUAUAUUUUUCAGAAAUUCGAACAAAGGCUCAAGCUUUCUACGACCCUGAAUACAUUGACGUGAAAUUUGGGAUAGAAGUACGUUUGAGAAGUCCGCAGACGAACCUAACACAAGCUAACUAACCAUUUCCAGAAGCCAUUUUUGAAGGAUAAAAAGCAACACAGUGGUCAAAAAUUGGUCGACUAAAAAUGAUAUUCUGGUGAAAAUCAUUCAUCCGGAAAGUCUUGGAAGGGAAGCAGGGAACCGACCACCACAGGAAAUAUCUUCCUCCAUCCUCGACCCUCAGUUUCUUGAGCAUUUCUCCAAGAACAAACCUUCUUCGUUUUCUUCACUGCAACCUCUCUCGUACCCCACGAAACAACGUUCAAAUUGAUGAUCGAGUACAAUAUGAGAAGCAAAUACAUGGACGGGAUUGACAAAAGAUAAAUGAUGCCUGGUACGAUACACCAAAAUUCUUGGGGAUGAAGACAAGCCGCUAUCACGAACGAACUCACAAACAUGAACAGGAGAAUUGGAAUGAUGUUGUAAUAGAAGCUCGUCCAAUUGUCGAUUUUGAAGGCAGCUACGAAGGCUCCCACCAACAUAAGAAAUAUCGUUCCUGGUCCAAGGAUCGUACCGCCUAUUGUUUUCUUAGCGUCCAUAAGAAGAUCCAUGAUAUUGGCCAAUGUUGAGGGGACCCAACGACGACGUUGGUUGUAAAAUUCGUUGAAACCUUCAGGAGCAUGAGUGUAGGCAUCACUGGCAGCUGAAUAUUCGACCUUGAAAACAAAAAUUGAUAAAAUGGCUUGUUUGAUGCUGUAAGAAAAUGUGAAUCGAUUGAGCCGAGAGAACUCACUCGAUAUCCACGCUGCAACAGAAGUGUGCAGAGCCAACGAUCCUCCCCUUGAUCGUACUGCACGUAAUGUCUCGCUUCCUCGGAUCUCGUCGUAUAUUUCUUCAUGACGUUGUCGUCCAUCAGAGCCUUGCCUCUGAAGAGGGAAAAACAACCGGGACUACAGAGCACACAACCGAUCAUGUGCUCCGUCGCUUUUUGAAGCCAAUGACCAAUCGCGUACUCAAACAUUUGGUACCAAACCAUCGGACCUUAGGAAAAAACAAAAAAUCGAGAAAAUUCUAUUACAUUAAAAUGUAAAAUCUUCGCGCAUUCAGUCGAUUUUUGCAACAAAUUUGAAAAAAUAUCCAUUGAAAAAUGGGAUUACGGGUUUGACAUUUAUUUUGACGUACCUGAUCCUACUGGAUGGAUGCGCCCACAAGCGGCGCCGAGAUUUUUAUUCUUUUUCAUAAGAUCGACUAACAGUUUGACCGCAGCUGGCUGGAAAUCAAUGUCGCCGUCCAAUGUCAACAAAUACGUAUUUUCGGCUAUUACUUCUUUGCGGUCGACACUUAUUGGUUGUUCCAUAAGACGAUGCCCUAGCAAGUAGUACAUGUACAUGACCUGCGAAAACCAAAAGAUGAUUCAACGUUAGAAAGCAGCAGAAAGUACAGGCAACGUCCAGACCAGUCGACCACCGUAAGGUGUUGGAUAUUUUUUCGGUGCUCGCACGUGCAUUCUCGUCUGAUGAACGUCCGAAGCUGCUUCGUCCAGGGUGCCUACCAGUAGUUUCACGAAUCUAUUCACCUGGGAUUCGUUUUCGUCGUGGUCGCUGAGCUCGAAAGCAUCAUCGAAGAAUAUGCCCAUCGACUGGUCGAUCAACAAAGAGUCGUACAUCGGCACGACGAACAAUUUCUCAGUAGCUGCGAGUCUCUCGCAUUUCGGUGUCCAGAUAUGCAGAGUGAUCCACGUCUGCGACAAAAGCCAAAGGAGCCAAAUCCAAGCGUAUUGUUUCGAAAUGAAAUCAUUGAGGAAAUUGGGGUCCUCCGGUGACUGGAAUGAGAGAUAGUCGGGAAUGGUGCCGUGGAAAAAGCAUGGAUCGCCUUCGCGAAUUCCGACGGCCGCGAUGAGCAGGGAAAUCGUCACAGGGAUCGGAAAAUACGAAUUCUGGCUUCUUCAACGCACCAAUCGGACUCUGAAGCGACACGUAGUUUUCCCACCAGCCGCACGAUACCAGGAACAACGAGGGUGGUAUCAACCAUAAAGAAGGCUCAGAGCUGGUCAACAAUGGCCAAACCACGAAUCCCGUUGCUUGUGCUGCUAACGCAGCAAGAUCGACCAACACGAGGACGCAUCUUCUUGAUUGAUCUUUGCUCUUAUUUCGAGAAAGCAAACCUGCCCAAAUGUCAUGUAACAGUAGAUUUUAGGAGGAUGGAAUUGAGAGUUAAAAAUCUUGGAGUCGUGAGGCCAAAAUGACGAUCGAAUGAAUCAUUGUUGAGGAAAAAACGGUUGUGAAAAGUGGAGAGGAAUUUUAAAAAUAAUAUUUUUUAAUGGAA
rnacentral:lncRNA from 1 species